AAUCGGAAAAGUUUGUUGAAUGGUGUGUGGGCAGUUUGUGAACAUGAAUAUGUACCAGCAAGCCAAAUAUACAAUGUGUUUUGCCGCCAACGCUUAAUGAGCUAACGCUAACUACGUGCUACUGAGCCAGACUAGCUUAAGCUGGAGUCUACACAUGCAGUGCUACAAGCCGCAUCAGAGAAUUGUGUUCACAUGGUGUCCACUGGGGGGCAGUAUAACCCCAGUAGAAAGCCUCCUGUGAGCUGGCAAGAACUCCCCCUGGAUGUCCUCGAGUUUAGUGUUACCCUCUGAGGGACGACGUGCAGGGAAAAGUCACUUACACCAAGUAUGGAAGUAAUUGUGGAUCAUUUGUGGUGUCAGAUGGGCCACAGCAUUAUUACCAGACAUACCUGACGCUGUUGUUAUGGUGAGGAGAGAGUACGCUGGAUUCUCCCUAGGAUUGCUCUUCUGAGAGGCUGCAGUUUAUUACAAAUGGGAAAGCUUUCAUUGCAGAUUGCCCCAGCGCUGCGUAGAGCGGGGCCUAACGACCAUAUAGAGUGGAAUAUGGAGUGAACAGUGGGUGGAUCCCCAUAAUUAUGUGGAGCAUUUUUUGGCCUUUCAGCAGGUUCCUCUGGCCCAGUCUUCCACUGCUGCAUCAUCAUCAUCAUCAUCAUCACCACCAUCAUCAUCAUCAUCAUCCAGCAUGAUGUCCAAAAAACUGCUUCAAGUUUCAGCGGCAAGAGGCGCACUUUGAGUUGUCAGGACAACCUGCGCGCCUGGCUCAUGGCUGCCCUCCAAGCACAGACAAAGCUGUCGUCCAAUGAACCAGGCGUGUGUCCACCGGACC